AGUCUGGUGCCGGCAGCCGCGGUAAUUCCAGCUCCAAUAGGAUAUAUCAAAGUUGUUGCAGUUAAAAAGCUCGUAGUUGAAUUUCUGGAGGGUAGAAGUGUUUUUCUUAGAGAAGCAAUUUUUUAUGAAAGACACCGCUUUCCAUUUUGUGGAUUUCUGUUUUGUAUAAAGAUAGUUUACUCUAUUUUUGUAUAAAAUACCACUCCGUCACUGAGAGCAAAUUGGAGUGCUCAAAGCAGGCUUUAUUAGCUUUGAACAUUUUAGCUUGGAAUGACAAGAUAUGACUUUUGUUUUAUUUUGUUGGUUAUGAAAUAAAAGUAAUGAUUAACAGGAACAGUUGCGGGGGUACUCGUAUUGAAAGGUCAGAGGUGAAACUCUUGGAUUCUUUCAAGACGAACGACUGCGAAAGCAUUUACCAAGGAUGUUUUCAUUAAUCAAGAACGAAAGCUCGGGGAUCGAAGAUGAUUAGAUACCAUCGUAGUCCGACGCCAUAAACGAUGCCGACUCGGGAUUAUUUUGUUAGUUUAAAUUAAAAAAGAACACAAAGUAGCACCGUAUGAGAAAUCAAAGUCUUUGGGUUCCGGGGGGAGUAUGGUCGCAAGGCUGAAACUUAAAGGAAUUGACGGAAGGGCACACCAGAGGUGGAGCCUGCGGUUUAAUUUGACACAACACGGGGAAACUUACCAGGUCCAGACAUGAUGAGGAUUGACAGUUUGAAAGCACUUUCUUGAUUUCAUGGGUGGUGGUGCAUGGCCGUUCUUAGUUGGUGGAGUGAUUUGUCUGGUUGAUUCCGAUAACGAACGAGACGGGGUGAAUUUACUAGUUUGUUAUAUAAUUUACGUUAUAUAAGACUUCUUUAUUCGACAACUUGGUUUUACCAAGAGGAAGCGCCCCGCAAUAACAGGUCUGUGAUGCCCUUAGAUGUUCUGGGCUACACGCGCGCUACAAUGACGAAUUCAACGAGUUAAAAAUUUAUUCCUUAUCCGGAAGGAUGUGGGUAAUCUUUUCAAUAUUCGUCGUGAUGGGGCUAGAUUUUUGCAAUUAUUAAUCUUCAACGAGGAAUCUCUAGUAUGUGCAAGUCAUCAGCUUGCGCAGAAUGCGUCCCUGCCCUUUGUACACACCGCCCGUCGCACCUACCGAUUGGACGAUCCGGCAAGAUGUUUGGAGUUGUUUUGAUUGUAGAGUAAUUUAUGAUGAAAAUGACAAAGCUCUU
rnacentral:rRNA from 1 species